UUAAUAUGCUUGGUUUUUGGCUGCUGGAAUACUAAAGGAAAAAUGAAGCAUAAAAAGCAGGAAUUUGAAACGGGUUUGAGUAUAGUUGAACCUGUUGAGUUCAAUUUGUUCAAUGAAAAACAAUCAGUGAUUUUGAUUAGCAUGUUCUAUUUUUUGUGUCUCCAAUUUGAAUUUAUAGUUGAAUCAGCUGAGUUUGAGUAUGGAUUCUGAUAAUUCUACUUUCAAUUUUAUUGAAAUGGGUUUUGAUUGAAUUUGCUAUUUUUGUUUGCAACUUUAUGAUUUAAUUUCUAUUUUGAGCUGCUUGUUGAGGUUUCUAGAAUUUUUUUUUUUUAUUAGGGGGGAAUUGGGGUAGUGGAGCCUUAAAUCUACCUCUGCUUGGUGAUUAAUAUGCCUAUAGUCACUAGUCUAAACCAAGCUAGGCAGAUUUUUAGAUUUUUAAAUUUGGCUGAAUUGCAGCAUAUCUAUUUUUCUUUAUGGAAUCAACAAAUCAAAUAGAACCGAAUCGAAAUUUUUAUUUAAUUUGAUUAUUCUUUUCUAUUCUAUUUGGUUUGAUUCUUCUUAUUUAUAAAUUCAAUUAUUUGUUGAUUUGAUUCGAUUUGAAAUCGAACUGCACUUGUGUAUUUUUAAGGGUUUGAUUCUUCUUAAUAAAAUUAAUCUAGUGUGGUUCUUGAUGAAGAAUCAGAAUUGAACUCAAACAAUAAAUACAUGUAAACUCAGUUCCAUAUGAUUUGGUUCUUAUAGUAUUGAUUCUUUUUCAAUUCAAAUAAAGUUUUUUAGUUCAGUUAGGAACCCCAGGAAUUGUGUAUAGUUCUAGACCUUAAACAUAUCUAAAAAUCAAUAGUGAAAAGUCUACUAAAUUCACCUAAACAAAUGGAAGAGCUACUGAGGCCAACCGUUGUGCUGAUUGGCUUGCAGCUUCAGCAUACUCUUACCUCGUGGGAGUGCAGGUCCUGGAUGCUCCUUUGGAGGUUGUGCUUCCUUGACUUCUCCAUGAUUAUUUGGGCUCUGCCUACUCUUGUUUUAGCUAGUCUUGCUUGUUCAUGUUUUGCUCUUUA
rnacentral:misc_RNA from 1 species